GGGCCGCUAGCUCAAUUGGAAGCAGCAAGGGCCUCUUAAGCCCGAGGUUGUGGGUUCGAGUCCCACGCGGCCCA
rnacentral:tRNA from 1 species